UACAGAGGUCUCAAGCGUUGUUCGGAUUCAUUGGGCGUAAAGGGUGCGUAGGCGGCGCGGUGAAGUCGGGUGAUGAAAUCUCGGAGCUUAGCUCCGAAACUGCAUUCGAUACUGCGGUGCUUGAGGACUGGAGAGGAGACUGGAAUUCAUGGAUGUAGCAGUGAAAUGCGUAGAGAUCGUAAGGAAGGACCAGUGGCGAAGGCGGGUCUCUGGACAGUUCCUGGACACUGAGGCAGCGAAGGCC
rnacentral:rRNA from 1 species